AUUGAACGCUGGCGGCAUGCCUUACACAUGCAAGUCGAACGGUAACAGGUCUUCGGAUGCUGACGAGUGGCGAACGGGUGAGUAAUACAUCGGAACGUGCCCGAUCGUGGGGGAUAACUACUCGAAAGAGUAGCUAAUACCGCAUACGAUCUACGGAUGAAAGCGGGGGAUCUUCGGACCUCGUGCGGACGGAGCGGCCGAUGGCAGAUUAGGUAGUUGGUGGGAUAAAAGCUUACCAGGCCGACGAUCUGUAGCUGGUCUGAGAGGACGACCAGCCACACUGGGACUGAGACACGGCCCAGACUCCGACGUGAGGCAGCAGGGGGGAAUUUUGGACAAUGGGCGAAAGCCUGAUCCAGCAAUGCCGCGUGCAGGAUGAAGGCCUUCGGGUUGUAAACUGCUUUUGUACGGAACGAAAAGACUCCUUCUAAUACAGGGGUCCAUGACGGUACCGUAAGAAUAAGCACCGGCUAACUACGUGCCAGCCGCCGCAGUAACAC
rnacentral:rRNA from 1 species